rfam:Gossypium raimondii Chr02_contig_1084, whole genome shotgun sequence.
AACCCAUGGUGAGGGCACAUUCUCAAUAAAUCCUUGUAUCUCUCCCAUGCACCAUAUAAAGUCUCUAAAUCGAUCUGCACAAAAGAAGAGAUGUAGUUCCCCAACUU